UCUUGCGCAGGCUACCAUGCAGUCGAGCGGUACAGGAGAAGCUUGCUUUCUUGCUGACGAGCGGCGGACGGGUGAGUAAUGUAUGGGGAUCUGCCCGAUAGAGGGGGAUAACUACUGGAAACGGUGGCUAAUACCGCAUAAUGUCUACGGACCAAAGCAGGGGCUCUUCGGACCUUGCACUAUCGGAUGAACCCAUAUGGGAUUAGCUAGUAGGUGGGGUAAAGGCUCACCUAGGCGACGAUCUCUAGCUGGUCUGAGAGGAUGAUCAGCCACACUGGGACUGAGACACGGCCCAGACUCCUACGGGAGGCAGCAGUGGGGAAUAUUGCACAAUGGGCGCAAGCCUGAUGCAGCCAUGCCGCGUGUAUGAAGAAGGCCUUAGGGUUGUAAAGUACUUUCAGCGGGGAGGAAGGUGAUAAGGUUAAUACCCUUAUCAAUUGACGUUACCCGCAGAAGAAGCACCGGCUAACUCCUGCC
rnacentral:rRNA from 1 species